AACAGGUAACAUUCAAAUAUUCUUCUUGGAAAAGCAUAGUUUUAAGUAUGAUUGCAACCAUUUUAUAUUUGGUUUAUGCAACAAGAGAGGUUAUUGCUUCUUUUCGCACAGGCAAAUGAUCUUUAUAAGGUUCAAAGAUACUACUUAACAAAGGCUAAACUUAUUAUUAGCCGCAGAGUAACUUAGGUACUGACUACUAAGAUUAUUACAUCGUCAGGAGCAUGCUGUAAUGAAACCUGCUGCACUUUUGUGCAACAUCAACACACGAAGUUCUGCAUGUUUUCAUAGUAACAGCUAAAUCCAUCCAGAGGAAUAGAUUGCCCUAGAUUGUACCAGAAGUUUCUUCACCCCAUUUUUAACCCAGCAGGAAGUCUGCAGGCUGCACUUUUGCUACACACCCGAACUUGAAUGUA